GGUCACGGCCAAGGCCGGGUGGGGAGCCUGGGCUCCAGUGAGCACGGAGCUCCGCGCCAGUGGGUGAAGCAAGUUGUCUCCGGGGCCCAGAGGACACCCGUGAGGACCCGGCACCAAUCAGAGCGUGGACGCCAAAAUCCUGACUCACCAUUUUUAGCUUUGGAAGAGGCAAGUCCAGCCCAAUAGUUUACAGACGAUUUGUUCUUCCUUCCAAACCUUCCUUCCAAGCCAAGGCUCUAUGCUCUGCAUGUUUCUGAGCAACUGCCCCAGAAAGGGCUGUUAGGUGAAAGGAUAACCCUGUUUCUUUGGCCUUUUCGUGCUGGACGAAUAAAGGAACUUUCAUUGCUGAGA